rnacentral:rRNA from 1 species
GAUGAACGCUAGCGACAGGCUUAACACAUGCAAGUCGAGGGGCAGCGCGGGUAGCAAUACCUGGCGGCGACCGGCGCACGGGUGCGUAACACGUGUGUAACCUACCUACAACAGGAGGAUAACCCGGAGAAAUUCGGACUAAUACCCCAUAAUACAGGGCUACCGCAUGGUAAUAUUUGUUAAAGAUUUAUCGGUUGUAGAUGGGCACGCGCAACAUUAGAUAGUUGGAGAGGUAACGGCUCACCAAGUCAGCGAUGUUUAGGGGAACUGAGAGGUUGGUCCCCCACACUGGUACUGAGACAGGGACCAGACUCCUACGGGAGGCAGCAGUGAGGAAUAUUGGUCAAUGAGCGAGAGCUUGAACCAGCCAAGUCGCGUGAAGGAAGAAGGUGCUAUGCAUUGUAAACUUCUUUUAAAUGGGAAUAAAAAGGGGGACGUGUCCUCUGUUGUAUGUACCAUUUGAAUAAGCAUCGGCUAACUCCGUGCCAGCAGCCGCGGUAAUACGGAGGAUGCGAGCGUUAUCCGGAUUUAUUGGGUUUAAAGGGUGCGUAGGCGGACCCGCAAGUCAGAGGUGAAAUCUUGUCGCUUAACGAUAACAAUGCCUUUGAAACUGCUGGUCUUGAGUGUAAAUGAGGUAGGCGGAAUGUGGUGUGUAGCGGUGAAAUGCUUAGAUAUGCCACAGAACACCGAUUGCGAAGGGCAGCUUACUGGGAUACAACUGACGCUGAGGCACGAAAGCGUGGGGGAUCAAACAGGAUUAGAUACCCUGGGUAGUCCACGCAGUAAACGAUGAUUACUAACUGUUUGC